UUUUAUCGGGGCGGGGCGGGGUCGGGGUCAGGGUAAACCCGCCCCUACCCGCCCCGCAGUGCAUAUAUAUAUUUAGGGAUUAGGGUUUUUCUCUCUGUGCCUCCAUCACCUUCAGACACCAUAAUCUUCUUCACCAUUGCUCAGUCCCUCACCCCCCUUGCCAUCGCUGCUCAGCCUCUCAUUCCCUCACCGUCGUUGCCCACUCCUCGCCGUCGUUGCCCACUCCUCGUUGUCGCCUCAGCUCCUCGCCGUCACUGCUCAGCGCGCAGCUUCUUGCCGUCGCCGCUCAGCGCGCAGCUCCUCGCCGCUUAGCCCGAAGCUCCAGCCUGCCAUCGCUGCUCAGUUUUUAGCUCCAUAAGACCAUUCAUCUCUUGGUUACCGUCACUGUGAGCUUGGCCAUCGCCGUUGCAUGUGAGCCUGUCACUGGAGCCCCUUUCUCUUUGUCUCUCUGAGUCUGUGACUUUUUCAAAGUGCUUCCAACUUUUACAUUAGCAAAGAUUCAAGAAUUGAAGAAUCUUGAAGAGGAAGCUAAGAGGAACCAAUCCUUGAAAUCUCUCUUGCUAUCUCCUUCUGGUGACUUUGUGAUUUCUUAUUAUGGAAAUAAAGUAAGCUACUAAUUAAUUAACUUGUAAACUAAAACAUAUCUAGCAGUUUCCAAAUGUGAUUGUGUGUAUAUUUAUUCAUUCAUUCAGAUAGCUAUUUUUGAAUUCAAGAGCAAGAUGGUUGGGCUUUAUUUCUCAUCGAGUUCAUAUGAAAGAUGCACUGACUUUACUUUCGGUCUGGUGGAGUUUUAUGACAAGUUAAGGUCAG